ACGCUCGACACCUACGGGGGCAGCAGUGGGGAAUAUUGCACAAUGGAGGAAACUCUGAUGCAGCGAUGCCGCGUGAGGGAAGAAGGUUUUCGGAUUGUAAACCUCUGUCUUUGGGGACGAUAAUGACGAUACCCAAGGAGGAAGCUCCGGCUAACUACGUGCCUGCAGCCGCGGUAAUCUGAGCGGGCUGGCAAGGC
rnacentral:rRNA from 1 species